AAGAUUCGAAAGGAGCCCCGCCCCCUCGGAGCAGAUUCCCGGGACUAAGUUGUGGGAAGAAAGCACAGUUUGCGGGAGCUCAGGUCUAAGCCGACUCCUGCUCCUGCUGGCUGGAACAUGGGAGAUUUGCAGGAAGAUGUGAAGUUUAUAGUGGAUGAGACGUUGGACUUUGGAGGGCUGUCACCAUCUGACAGUCUCCUGCUCUCUGUGGUGUGGGCACGGUGCCUGGUUUGUUUUCUGUCUCAGUCGUGAGGAGGAAGACAUAGCAGUGUUGGUGACUCCGGAGAAACCCCCCCGACGAGGCCUCUCCCACCGAAGUGACUCAAAUGCAGUGGCCCCCACCCCCCAGGGUCUGAGGUUCAGCUUAGGCCACCUCAGCCCAGAGAAGCUGGAGGAGAUCCUCGAUGAGGCCAACAAGCUGGCAGCACAGCUGGAGCGGUGUGCCCUGCAGGAGCGGGAGACCACAGGCGAGGGCCUGGGGCCUCGAAGGGUGAAGCCCAGCCCUCGGCGGGAGACCUUUGUGCUGAAGGACAGUCCUGUCCGCGACCUGCUGCCCACUGUGAGCUCUUUGGCUCGGAGCACCCCUUCCCCAAGCAGCCUGACACCCCGACUCCGGAGCAGCGAUAGGAAGGGGUCAGUCAGGGCUCUUUGGGCAACCUCUGGAAAGAGGCCCUCCAGCAUGAAGAGGGAGUCACCCACUUGCAAUCUGUUCCCCACAUCCAAAAGCCCAGCAUCUUCUCCUCUUGCCCGACCAAUUCCUCCAAUCCGGGGAAAAGCUGGGCCCAGUGGGAGAGCAACAGCAAGCCCACCUACCCCUGUCAGACCAGCUUUGGCCCCACCACCUUCUACCAGCAACUCUCAGCGCCUGUCUCGGCCACAGGGAGCAGCUGCUAAAACUUCCAGUCGACUGCCUGUUCCCUCGGCCAUCCCCAGGCCUGCCAGCCGAGUGCCACUCACCAGCCGGAGUAUACCACCCAGCAAAGGUGCCCUAGCUCCAGAUUCUCUGUCAACUCGGAAAGGACUUCCAAAACCAAGCACUACUGGGCACAGAGGUAGGAAGAAUGGACAUAAGGGUAAGAAGUCAGGAGGAAGAAUACCUACCCUUGCCCAGCUUGACCGUACCCUCCCGGAGCUGGUAACAAUGACCACUUUUUCCAUCUUCAUUGCAACUCUCCUUGAAGAUGGAGGAAAGGCACCGAUCCCAAACUCUGCCUUCAACCAGUAUUUCAUUUUGAGAAGGUCAUUUGAACUUUCUGCUAAUUCAUUUCUUUUGUAAACUCCCAUCAAGUUCCUGUUUCCCAACGACCAGAUCUUCCCGUUACUGGUGCCACUCGCAGCAAUCUGCAGCCCCCCAGGAGAGUCGCAGUCCCAGGACCUACCAGGUAAAGAGAUCAGGACAGCCAGUGAGAAGUCAGUAGCAAACCACUACAGUCACUGCCUGGACUCACUCUACUCGGUCUCCUAAGCACUCUCAUUGGAGGCAGUUUCCGGCUUCAGCAGAUCCUGGCCCAGGGGCGGGAGGAAGAGUUGCCACCAGGGCUGGCACCCCAGGAGGAGAGACCAUGAGAGCAGAGUGGAUUAGGGUUAAGCUGGAGGGGAUUCAAACUCUCUGGUUUCAAAGAAGAUUAGGAACAAGAGGUCACCCCAGCCGUGAAAUUAACAAAUGGAAGAUGAGAAAUGCUGAAGAGUGGGUUGUCCUCAUCCACCCUAACUCCAUGUUUGGCCCCAGAGAGUUUGAUCUUCCCAGGCAGUGGGUUCACUGGACAUUUACAUGCGAAUGGCCUCUGCAGCUAACCUCCCUGCUCUCUGAGGACCAGUCCUCCUGAAUCAUAUCCUCCACUGGACUCCAGCCUAUUUGGAGAGGCAGAGGCAGGCCCCUGGCUUCCAGAACUUGUUUCCUGUGAAUUCUGUGACUCUUAACAGGCCAGUUUAUGAUAAGCUUACUCUGUUGACCUGCAUUUUUCUAAAAUAAAAUAAAUGUAUUUUUAUAGUCUCUGCA